AACGAACGCUGGCGGCGUGCCUAACACAUGCAAGUCGCGCGAGAAAAGGGGGGCAACCCCCUGAGUAAAGCGGCGAACGGGUGAGUAACACGUAGGUGACCUACCCUCGAGUCUAGAAUAACCUACCGAAAGGUGGGCUAAUGCCGGAUAUGACCACGGGAAUCACGGUUCCUGCGGUGAAAGGUGGCCUCUGCUUGCAAGCUACCGCUCGAAGAUGGGCCUGCGCGCCAUUAGCUAGUUGGUGAGGUAACGGCCCACCAAGGCGAUGAU
rnacentral:rRNA from 1 species